AUGUAUGUAUUUUCCUGAAAGCAUGUGGGGAGAUAAGCUCGAUCUAAUGGAACAUGGACGCAGAACACUGGCUGGUCUUUGUAUAUUGGACAAUUCUGCAGUUUCAGCCUAUAUCUUUAGCAUUUAGUUGUAUUAGCUAGGCAUGGAUCACGAUCCUUCCUAUUUAAGUUUGUACAUGCCGACUUAAUUUAGUUUGAUUGAGAUUUG
rnacentral:misc_RNA from 1 species